UUGAUCCUGGCUCAGAAUCAACGCUGGCGGCGUGCCUCAGACAUGCAAGUCGAACGAUUAAAGCUCUCUUCGGAGAGUGUAUAGAGUGGCGCACGGGUGUGUAACACGUAAGUAAUCUACCUUUGAGUGGGGAAUAACAUCGGGAAACCUAUGCUAAUACCGCAUAAUGCAGCGGCAUCGCAAGACGACAGUUGUUAAAUAUUUAUCGCUUAAAGAGGAGCUUGCGGCAGAUUAGCUAGUUGGUAAGGUUAUGGCUUACCAAGGCUACGAUCUGUAACCGGUCUAAGAGGACGGUCGGUUACACUGACACUGAAUAACGGGUCAGACUCCUACGGGAGGCAGCAGUCGGUAAUUUUGGGCAAUGGGCGAAAGCCUGACCCAGCAACGCCGCGUGAAGGAUGAAGUAUUUCGGUAUGUAAACUUCGAAAGAAUGGGAAGAAUAAAUGACGUUACCAUUUAUAAGGUCCGGCUAACUACGUGCCAGCAGCCGCU
rnacentral:rRNA from 1 species